AUUGAACGCUGGCGGCAGGCCUAACACAUGCAAGUCGAGCGGAUGAAGGGAGCUUGCUCCUGGAUUCAGCGGCGGACGGGUGAGUAAUGCCUGGGAAUCUGCCUGGUAGUGGGGGAUAACGUCCGGAAACGGGCGCUAAUACCGCAUACGUCCUGAGGGAGAAAGUGGGGGAUCUUCGGACCUCACGCUAUCAGAUGAGCCUAGGUCGGAUUAGCUAGUUGGUGGGGUAAAGGCCUACCAAGGCGACGAUCCGUAACUGGUCUGAGAGGAUGAUCAGUCACACUGGAACUGAGACACGGUCCAGACUCCUACGGGAGGCAGCAGUGGGGAAUAUUGGACAAUGGGCGAAAGCCUGAUCCAGCCAUGCCGCGUGUGUGAAGAAGGUCUUCGGAUUGUAAAGCACUUUAAGUUGGGAGGAAGGGCAGUAAGUUAAUACCUUGCUGUUUUGACGUUACCAACAGAAUAAGCCCGGCUAACUUCGUG
rnacentral:rRNA from 1 species